rnacentral:tRNA from 1 species
AACCCUAUGGUGUAAUGGUAGCACAAAUGAUUUUGGUUCAUUUAGUCGAGGUUCGAAUCCUUGUGGGGUUGCCA